AAGAAGACACAAAGCCAAAGACUCA
rnacentral:siRNA from 1 species